UGGGGAAUAUUGGACAAUGGGGGCAACCCUGAUCCAGCGACGCCGCGUGGGUGAAGAAGGCCUGCGGGUUGUAAAGCCCUUUCGGUGAGGAAGAAAAGUCUCGGCUUAAUACGCUGGGGCCCUGACGUAACUCACUAAAGAAGCACCGGCUAACUCUGUGCCAGCAGCCGCGGUAAUACAGAGGGUGCGAGCGUUAAUCGGAAUUACUGGGCGUAAAGCGCGCGUAGGCGGCUUCGCAAGUCGGGUGUGAAAUCCCCAAGCUCAACUUGGGAACUGCAUUCGAGACUGCGUUGCUAGAGUAUGGGAGAGGGAAGUGGAAUUUCAGGUGUAGCGGUGAAAUGCGUAGAUAUCUGAAGGAACAUCAGUGGCGAAAGCGACUUCCUGGACCAAUACUGACGCUCAUGUGCGAAAGCGUGGGGAGCAAACAG
rnacentral:rRNA from 1 species